GAUGGAAAGUGGGCUUAAAGAAGCCAUCUUUUUAGAGUGGGUUAAUCCUCAGCAUUUCUAGUUAAUGAUCAAAUGAAGUUCCUUUUGUUCAACAAAACUUCUUCACGAAACUAAGGGGUGAAGGUAAUAAUGUAAAGAUGAGUAGCUCAGUUUUUGGGGUUUAUUUGGUUCAGGAAAUUAAACGCUAAGUGAACGAUGAUGAUAAGCAAAGCUAAAGGAACUCGGCAACAACGAAAACCGCCUGUUUAGCAAAAACAUGGCUCCUUGAAAUCAUAAGGAGUCGUGCCUUCCCGGUGAGUUUAAACUUAAACGGAUGCGGUAAAGCGUGCUAAGGUAGCUAAGUUAUGGCCUAGUUAAUUGUAGGCCCUGUGAAUGGUUUGACGAGUUUUCUUCUGUCUCUAGCUUGUUUUAGUGAACUUGAAUUGGAUGUGCAAAUGCUUCCUUGCGAAAGAAAGACGAGAAGACCCCGUGAAGUUAGAAAUCUAUGUGCGUGGAGGUAGAAGGUUACUUCCCUUAGCUUAUGGUUUUGG
rnacentral:rRNA from 1 species